ACCGAGGCUCUGCAAACUCAGAACUCUAUAAACGUGACCACGCGCCGGGCUCCAGCAGGCAGGCCGGUAAAAAGCCCAAGUCGUUAAGGAGAAACACGGUCUAGGGGAGAGAGCCAGGUGGGGUCGGGACAGCGUCGCCCCGCGCUCCCCGCCGCAGCCCGCCGCGGUCGCGCCUGAGGGAGGAGGGCGCCCCCGAGGGAGGCCAGCGCCGGAGCCCGGGGACCCUACCUCUCCGCAAUGUAGAGGGUGCCGGUGCCGAGCCCCUUCCCGUUCAGCACGGCCUCGGUGUCUGGCUGCUGCAGCCGGAGCCCGUCUUCCGACGUAGGCGGCGGGAAGCUUUUGAGGAAGCUCAUUGCGGGUGAAAGCAGAGGUCCGCAGGACCCGAGAAAGCCGAUCCCCACAACCCCAGAGCGCAUGAGCUGCUCCGGAAGCAGUAGCCGUACCCCGGAAGAACAACUUCCUCCGCGCAGGAUUCAUUCGGCCGGCCGUUGACCAUAGAGAUGGGACAGUCUAGACGAGCCGGAGGUCCGUGGUGAUCGAGCGGGCGUCGGCCACGUGAUGCGGCCCCCUCCUUCCCCAGCUCCUCGGAGGAGGCUGAGAAUAACCGAGUGUUUUCGCUGUGGUUCCAUUUCAAGGUCAUCACAGCAAACCCUGCGAGAGUAUGAGCAAUACGAUGCCUUUCCCAGCAAAAGCGGGAACGGGCCUAGGACCUGGGAGUCCCUCACCUGAGGAGGACACACAGAAAAUAGAAUGCACACUCACCUGGAGGUCCGCAGUCUCCCGGUUGGGUGCACGAGUCUCCCCUGCUCCCGCCUGUCUCAUCCGGCCUGUUGUCACCCGGUUCACACAGCCAUUCACCAGGCCUCCGUCUUGGUGCUCCCGUCGCCCCAUCCCCCGUGUCACGCCACAGGAGCACAAAGAGGUUGUGUUAAGUGAACGAAAGCUCGGCAAGACAGUCAAAAGACAGCGCCGAAGGGAAAGGUGGCCACUGAUCCGGAACUCUUGAAUUACGUGCUCGCUAGGCCCCAAAGAAUAAGAGCAGUGAAGACCUAGAGGCUUAGCAAGUAGACACCCGUAACCGAGGGCUAUGUACCACACAGCGUUGCUAUCACUAUCAAGAUCAUUAAGUCGCCGGCGUUUCUUCCUGCGAGCAGCAGCUGCCCUCUGAGGCCGUUUAUUUUCUUUUCGUUCUUCAUCCAAAAUGGUAGAGAUGUCUUUCCCACGGUGACCUGUGAUGGUGGAGAUAUCUUUUCCUCGGCCAACUCCUGAGAGGAAGAGGGAAGAAGAAGAAACACACUGCAGACACAUGGGCUAUGCAUUUUACAAUGCAAAUUAAGGUCCUGGUGGAGCCGGAAGACAAGGAUGCAUAUCCAGAAUGACAUCUCCAUGGGUUUCCUCUCCAAUGGAAAAAUCAAAAACAAACAAACAAACAAACAAAUGCCCUGUUUAUUUUAAUUAAAAAAUAAUAACAAAUAGCUCUAAACAACAGAUGCUUGCUCUGGUCAU